UACAGAGGUCUCAAGCGUUGUUCGGAUUCAUUGGGCGUAAAGGGUGCGCAGGCGGUUGUGUGUGUCAGGUGUGAAAGCCCGGGGCUUAACCCCGGAAUUGCGCCUGAAACUACAUGACUAGAGCAUUGGAGAGGGUAGCGGAAUUCACGGUGUAGCAGUGAAAUGCGUAGAUAUCGUGAGGAACACCAGAGGCGAAGGCGGCUACCUGGACAAUUGCUGACGCUCAGGCACGAAAGCGUGGGGAGCAAAAGGG
rnacentral:rRNA from 1 species